rnacentral:rRNA from 1 species
AGUGAACGCUGGCGGUAGGCCUAACACAUGCAAGUCGAACGGCAGCACAGUAAGAGCUUGCUCUUACGGGUGGCGAGUGGCGGACGGGUGAGGAAUACAUCGGAAUCUACUUUUUCGUGGGGGAUAACGUAGGGAAACUUACGCUAAUACCGCAUACGACCUACGGGUGAAAGCAGGGGAUCUUCGGACCUUGCGCGAUUGAAUGAGCCGAUGUCGGAUUAGCUAGUUGGCGGGGUAAAGGCCCACCAAGGCGACGAUCCGUAGCUGGUCUGAGAGGAUGAUCGGCCACACUGGAACUGAGACACGGUCCAGACUCCUACGGGAGGCAGCAGUGGGGAAUAUUGGGCAAUGGGCGAAAGCCUGAUCCAGCCAUACCGCGUGGGUGAAGAAGGCCUUCGGGUUGUAAAGCCCUUUUGUUGGGAAAGAAAAGCAGCAGGUUAAUACCCCGCUGUUCUGACGGUACCCAAAGAAUAAGCACCGGCUAACUUCGUG